CUGCGCUACCUGCGUCUCAGAACUGCGGCCGCCUUGGUCUGCCAGCAACCUGAUCUUAUCCAAGCAGGAAUCUGGACUGGAGGCUCAGGAUGGCCAUGCUGGGUGCUAAAGUGGCUUUUGACCUCUGAAGCUUCGUUGAGCUGGGCAACCGAAACCAGGAGACAUUUAUCCAAACUGCAGGGUGGCUCCUUGUUUACACCUGCCAAGCCUUUUAUGGAAAAGAACAGCAGGCUUCUGCAUCUCAUGUGUCAAAAAAGUGCUAGAGAUAAAGAAAAGAUACUUUAAAAUGUCAAUAUCAGGCCAUCUUAGAUAAAACUGCUGGGAAAUGUGUGUAUGAGUACUAUGAGCUCUGCGACUAGGACGCAACACAUAAGCAAUAAAUAUGUUUUGAUGGGA